AGUGGAGGAAGCAAACCCUCCUGCCAACAGCCCCGGGUCUGAGCUUGAGCUUGGAGGUGGGCAGCCCAGCCUCAGACGACCGCGACCCCAGCCGACUGCUUGACCACAGCCUCAUGAGGAACCCUGGGCCAGAACCACCCGCUAAACCCCUCUCAGCUUCCUCAACCUCAGAAACCGGGCCCGCUAAUGCUCGGAGACAGGAAGAGGCAGACUCAGAGGCUCCGGUGGGAUGGGGCCACCUCUCCUCACCAGCAAGGAGGUAAAGAGCAGAAGCUCAAAGUCCUCAGCUCACAUUCCACCCGGAACGGUGAAAAGGUGUCGCUAAGACUAACAGGAUGCAUCAGUGCUUGUCUUUUCCAGAAACCAACCAGCCACAUAAGAAAUCUUUAAUUAACAAACAUAUUUAUAAGAGUGGAAAAAAUCAGAUCAGUGGGAAUGAAGCAACUGACCCGAGUUCUUCCCUGGCCGCCCGGGAGAAGAUGAUGGAGACAGCACGUAACAUUCUGUUCCUCUGCUUUGCUCAUCUCCAGGCUGUCGGGAUGAUGGAAAAAGUGCAUCUUACCCUGCCUGUCUCUCUCCGGUUCCUAGAAAUGCUGCCACAUGGGGAGGAAGGUGACUGCAGUCACAAGGGAUGUACAUUGGCUCUGAUCACAAUGGCUGCAGGACGGAGAAGCUGCUCCCCAGGACGCCUGGCUCCCACUCCUUGCAGACCUGGGUUCGAGUUCAGCCUCCUCAGUUGCAAACCUGGGGCCUUCCUAUUCGGAGUCUCUCUGCUGCCCAUUUGGCAAGCACUGAGUUAGUAAAAACAAACCCCCAGCAUUCUAAUGAGGAUUAAUGAGACUGUCAGCUCCAUGUGGACAGGUAGCUUGUGAAGGGCUGACAGAUUGCCACUUUCCUUGCCCUCCGUGAACAGUUGUUAGGGACGUGAAUGAACAAAUCACAUUAGCCCUGGGCCCACAAUAAAUUACACUGAUGUCAGUUUCUCCUUUCACUGCCAGGAAAAGUUU
rnacentral:lncRNA from 1 species